rnacentral:lncRNA from 1 species
AGCGCCGCAGGGCGCCUCCUCUCAUUGCUGCAAAGACCCUCCCCCUCCUCCACGACACCAACUGUUCGGAGGGCGUCCGCAGCCGUUUGAAUAGCCCGGGCGGCGGCGCUGAUUGGACUGCGGCCGCAUCACGUGACACGCCGGGCGAGCGGAGGCGGGGGAGAAGGCCACUCAGGGCUGGCUUAGCAGGAGCAGGGGCGGGGCUUUUCCGACUGCUCCCUCGGUGAAGGGAUGCGCCCUGCUAGGGCUGCGCACGCUCCGCAGGAUUCCUGAGGACCUCCGCGGCUGGUGGCCGGCCCAACCCAGAACAAGGACCCACCUACAACAUCCCUGACAGCUCCCCGCCCACCCGCCCCCCAGCCAAUGCCGUUCGUCCCAGCCCCCGGGGUUACCGUGUUUUGUAGUCUUCUCUGCAUCCAGGCUGUCCCCAAAGACUCGGUGCUCCCUGCCUGGGGUCCGCACCCCAAGGACCCCGCGGCCCUUCCGUCUGCCUUGUGCCGAACCCCCGCAAGUGAAAAGGGUCUCCCCUUUAGAGCUCCCAGCAGCAAAGACCGUGUCUGCUGGUAUACGGAGGGCUUAACCGCGGGGCUGAGAAGAAGUCAGUGUCCCAGCAAGGAACGCCCCGCUCUUCCGUGGUCCCAGCCCACGAGCCAUGAUGUAUCGCGCCCAUCAGCACACUUACACGGACAGCACUUGAAGGGUUCUCGGUAAAUAGUAUCGAUGGAAAACCCUUCGGAGACGUUCAUUCAGUACUGAGCCUCGUCGGGCUCUGUGCCGGGCGGAAUCAUUCCUAGUGGAGGAAGCCCAGUCAGGGAGAGAGCGGGGAAGGGCGCCCAGCCGGGAAGGGUCCGAGGCAGCCUUUGCUCGCUUCGCCUCCUCCCGGCUGCUUCUAGAAUCAUCUCUUCUUAAAUGACUCGUUCACCCUCCUCCAAAUGUCUGCCGCUUGGGCUGGGCGACCCUUGGGCGCACGGAAAGGGAUGAACGGGCGCCGCUGUCGCUGCUGGUCCUCAGGGUCGCCACCGUGCCCUGUCUUCACUCUCCUGAACAAACCCCCAGAGGCCUCCUGCCAAACUGACCCUGGACCGCCCGCAGGUGCUGCCGGGGUCACUGUUCUAGUGCUCCAUCUUUCCCACCCAAAGAGCUCAGAUAUUUCACUAAGAUCAUCCCAGAAUAUCUCUGAGCUAUGCAAUUCGAGAAACAUUUAUAUGCAACAUACAAGCUCCUGGACCAGAUGCUGGGGCCCCAGGGAUGACAUUCUACUCGGGAUAAAUACCAAGGACUCAUCAGCAUGGCAACCAUCUUGUCGAGAGCAUGAGUCAUAUGCUGCAAGUGUGAAAAGGGAUUUAUCUGCCAUAGUACUGUAAAGUCAGUUACAAUCUGUUCUCCGGCUCCAGCAAAUAUCGAGGCAAGAUCCCCAGAAACAUCUCGAGCUCUGAGAUCCCUGGGUUUUAACAAGAUCGGAAUGGGUUCCCAUGCAUGCUGGCUCCCACAGACUUCUCCCAAUAUUCAGACAACUAGGAUUGCCGGCUGCCCCAGUCUCAGAAGGAUACUUUUUGACAUCCAUUAACAGCUUGAUGCUAAGCAGAUUAGAGACAGACAUGGACUGCUUCUUUGUUUUGUCAUGGAGAGUCGUGGAGAGCAGAGGAGUCAGUUCCAACCUCCUUCAAAGCACAGCUCACUGCCAACUCCCUCAUGAGGCCAUUUUUGAUCCUUCUCCACCCCUGAGCUAUUAGAGCUCACUCUCUCUGGAAAUCACUUUCUUUUCAGAGACAAAGUAGAUGCCAGACUAACCCAAUCAUGGGACGGGAAUGCAAUGGACCUUUAGUGUGCAGUGAGAAAUGCCACAUGUGAGCAAUGCAGAGAUUUGAGAAGCGUAGAAAGAGUUAUCUGAACUGAACCAAAAAGGAACAAGCAGAAUCCAGUAAACAAUGCACAGAAUAACUGCAGUGAUGGCAACUGAACCAACAACACUAAACAAGUGAAAGGAAAAGGAAAUUCAGGAUUCUGCUGAUCAAUGCAGCCUCCAAAAAGAGGGAUGAGAAAACAGCAAUUCCUGCUCCUCAGCAAAGGCAGGGAACCCAUGGGGUGUGCUGCUCAGAACAUCAGAUUUUUUUUUCAAUAUGGUGGUUCACCUUGAGGAACUUUUUUUCUUCCUUUUUAUCCUAUGGGAUGACUCUCAGGGACUGGGUUAACGAAAGGAUGUAGUGGGAAAUAUGGGUGAUGUGAAAACAAAAGAUAUCAAUAAAAAGUUAUUUUAAGAAUUUAUUUAUUUCA